GACGAACGCUGGCGGCGUGCUUAACACAUGCAAGUCGAACGGAAAGGCCCUGCUUUUGUGGGGUGCUCGAGUGGCGAACGGGUGAGUAACACGUGAGUAACCUGCCCUUGACUUUGGGAUAACUUCAGGAAACUGGGGCUAAUACCGGAUAGGAGCUCCUGCUGCAUGGUGGGGGUUGGAAAGUUUCGGCGGUUGGGGAUGGACUCGCGGCUUAUCAGCUUGUUGGUGGGGUAGUGGCUUACCAAGGCUUUGACGGGUAGCCGGCCUGGGAGGGUGACCGGCGAAGUGGGGAAUGAGGAACGGGCCGGACCGGUAGGGGAGGCACAAGCGGGGAACGUUGCACAGUGGGCGGAGUCGUAAUGCGGUAUCGCCGGGGGCGGGAGGAGGGCGAUGGGAUUGGAAACCGAGUCAGCCGGGAACGAAGAGCAAGUGACGGUAAUGGGCAAAGAAGCACCGGCGAACUAGGUG
rnacentral:rRNA from 1 species